GAUUAACGCUAGCGGCAGGCCUAAUACAUGCAAGUUGAACGGGAUUAGUUGUAGCAAUACGACUAUGAGAGUAGCGCACGGGUGCGUAACACGUAUGCAACCUACCUAUAACUGGGGGAUAGCCUCCCGAAAGGGAGAUUAAUACCGCAUAACACUAUGAAGUGGCAUCACUUUAUAUUUAAAUCUACGGAGGUUAUAGAUGGGCAUGCGUCCGAUUAGCUAGUUGGUGAGGUAACGGCUCACCAAGGCUCCGAUCGGUAGGGGGUCUGAGAGGAUGAUCCCCCACACUGGUACUGAGACACGGACCAGACUCCUACGGGAGGCAGCAGUAAGGAAUAUUGGACAAUGGGCGCAAGCCUGAUCCAGCCAUGCCGCGUGAAGGAUGAAGGCCCUAUGGGUCGUAAACUUCUUUUAUACGGGACAAAACCCCUCCUCGUGAGGAGGGUUGAUGGUACUGUAAGAAUAAGGGUCGGCUAACUUCGUG
rnacentral:rRNA from 1 species